rnacentral:rRNA from 1 species
AGUGAACGCUGGCGGUAGGCCUAACACAUGCAAGUCGAACGGCAGCACAGUAAGAGCUUGCUUUCACGGGUGGCGAGUGGCGGACGGGUGAGGAAUACAUCGGAAUCUACUUUUUCGUGGGGGAUAACGUAGGGAAACUUACGCUAAUACCGCAUACGACCUACGGGUGAAAGCAGGGGAUCUUCGGACCUUGCGCGAUUGAAUGAGCCGGUGUCGGAUUAGCUAGUUGGCGGGGUAAAGGCCCACCAAGGCGACGAUCCGUAGCUGGUCUGAGAGGAUGAUCGGCCACACUGGAACUGAGACACGGUCCAGACUCCUACGGGAGGCAGCAGUGGGGUAUAUUGGACAGUGGGCGCAAGCCUGGUCCAGCCAUACCGCGUGGGUGGAGAAGGCCUUCGGGUUGUAAAGCCCUUUUGUUGGGAAAGAAAAGCAGCAGGUUAAUACCCCGCUGUUCUGACGGUACCCAAAGAAUAAGCACCGGCUAACUUCGUG